UUUAUUUAUUUAAUCAUUUACUCAGAAGAUACUGUAUAAAAUCAAGGGUUUGGGUCCUCUGGCGGGCUGCCGAAGCAGGCACCGCCGAGGCAACAAAUGGUAUGUUCACAGGGGUUUGGGAGUUGUAAACUCGGUAAUGAUCCCUCCGCUGGUUCACCAACGGAGA
rnacentral:misc_RNA from 1 species